UCUUUCCUCCCGGUGGAGCGGCUGGUGCGUCUCUUCCUUCUCCCCGCCGGUACAGAGAUGCUGCCUUCAAGUACUCCUCAGGAAGCCAUCGCAUCAGAACCCAUCUCCGACCAUCCGUUUCUUGCUGCAUGGCAUGUGGUUUUCUCCAAGGUUAUGAAUGGACCGUGUUCAGACUUGAGAUGAUGAAAUCAAUAAGCCAUGUGUGAGGUCCAUGUCCUGAGAGAGAGAGACACACUGGAGGAGAAAGAACAAGGGAGGAGAGUGGAGGGAAAAGGGGAGCUGAAGAGGAGAGGAGAGGAGGGGUGUGAGGUAGGAGAUAUACAAGGGUGUGAAGAAGCAGGAGGGAAGAAUAUAGGAUAAGACAAGGAGAGGGACCCGAGAGAGAAGGGAGGGC